UACGGAGGGGGCUAGCGUUGUUCUGAAUUACUGGGCGUAAAGCGCACGUAGGCGGAUCGGAAAGUUGGGGGUGAAAUCCCGGGGCUCAACCCCGGAACUGCCUUCAAAACUAUCGGUCUUGAGUUCGAGAGAGGUGAGUGGAAUUCCGAGUGUAGAGGUGAAAUUCGUAGAUAUUCGGAGGAACACCAGUGGCGAAGGCGGCUCACUGGCUCGAUACUGACGCUGAGGUGCGAAAGCGUGGGGAGCAAACAGG
rnacentral:rRNA from 1 species